UGGGGAAUAUUGGGCAAUGGGGGCAACCCUGACCCAGCGACGCCGCGUGGGUGAAGAAAUCCUUCGGGAUGUAAAGCCCUGUUGUAUGGGAAGAGUAGAAGACGGUACCAUACGAGGAAGCCCCGGCAAACUACGUG
rnacentral:rRNA from 1 species